AGUCUUGAAAGAUGGGAAGAUCAGGAGCAGUCUGGAGUCAUGGUAUAUGAAUGAACUAGUGAGAGUGGGCACAAAGUCUGAAGAUCUUUGUGGUGCAGCUAAUGUCUAAGGGAGAAUAUACCUACCCUAGAAGAGACAUUAAACAACCAGGAAGCUUACUGCAGGAAAGAAAUCCCUCAGAGUCCUGAAGAUACAGCUUUCGGAACUUAGGUGAAGCAAGAGGACUCAAAGUGUGCAAGAAUGGACAGUACAGAAUGCUCUGCUACACUGCUCAGAUUCCCCCUUCAGGAAGGAAGGACAAAUUCACUCAACUUCUGGGAGCAUUGAUGGUUGAGCUCUCAGCCAUCAGAACUUUUUGGAAGUCGCCCUCUUCUGAAAAGAGGCACAUUGCCCAAGAUAUUUCCUCCUCCAGAGCGCAAGCUGCACCUGAAGACUGAUUGAUGUGGGGUAUGAUGGUCUGGUCUCCUUUCCCCAUCUAAAGGACUGUUGUAACCUCAGGGCUCUCCUUGAGGUUUCCUUAGUUCUUAUUACUAUGUUGCAGUCCAACUUCUUCUUUGGCCUAAUUCUACUUUCCUCCCAUUCCCCAGUUGUUGAUCCUGACAGCAAUUUCCCUCCACAUUUCUGUAAACUAAGCAUGAUCUCAGAGUCACCUGACCUGCAACAUUAUUACAUACACUAUAGUCUGUGCUCUUAAAGAUUUAGUGAAAGCAUGCUGCUGAAGCUUGCCAGAACUUCCCUUCUU
rnacentral:lncRNA from 1 species